CCUACGGGAGGCAGCAGUGGGGAAUAUUGCGCAAUGGGGGAAACCCUGACGCAGCCAUGCCGCGUGAGUGACGAAGGCCUUAGGGUUGUAAAGCUCUUUCGCUAGGGAAGAUAAUGACGGUACCUAGUAAAGAAGCCCCGGCUAACUCCGUGCCAGCAGCCGCGGUAAUACGGAGGGGGCUAGCGUUGUUCGGAAUCACUGGGCGUAAAGCGUACGUAGGCGGACUAAUUAGUUGGGGGUGAAAUCCCGGAGCUCAACUCCGGAACUGCCUCCAAAACUGUUAGUCUUGAGAUCGAGAGAGGUAAGUGGAAUUCCGAGUGUAGAGGUGAAAUUCGUAGAUAUUCGGAAGAACACCAGUGGCGAAGGCGGCUUACUGGCUCGAUACUGACGCUGAGGUACGAAAGCGUGGGGAGCAAACAGGAUUAGAUACCCUAGUAGUC
rnacentral:rRNA from 1 species